rnacentral:rRNA from 1 species
AUGAAGAGAAGGUUCCUAGAUGCAAUUGCCAUAGUGCAGCGAUGGGGUAAACCAGAUUACUUCAUCACAAUGACAUGCAACCCAUACUGGGAGGAGAUAACAACAGAGUUGAUGCCCGGACAGCUACCACAGGAUCGACCAGACCUGGUUGCAAGAGUGUACAAAGCAAAGCAGCGAGAUUUGAUGGACUUACUCAUCAAGAAAAAGCAUAUUGGCGAGGUUGCGGCCUAUGUUCAUGUGACCGAGUUUCAGAAAAGAGGGCUCCCACAUGAACAUAUCCUUCUAAUCAUGAAGGCAGGUAGCAAGUUAAAGACUCCAGAUGACUAUGACAGAGUCAUAUCAGCAGAAAUACCUGAUAAAGAUAAAUACCCUGUCCUGCAUGCUCUAGUCAUAAAACACAUGUUGCAUGGGCCAUGUGGUGUCCUCAAUAAAAAUGUGCUUGCAUGA